rfam:Toxocara canis scaffold3389, whole genome shotgun sequence.
GGGGAUAUAGCUCACCGGGUAGAGCGCUACCUUCGCAUGGGAGAGGUCUGGGGUUCAAUUCCCCAUAUCUCCA